rnacentral:lncRNA from 1 species
UCCUACUACUACUACUACUACUACUACUACUACUACUACUACAACUACUACUACUACUACUACUACUACUACUACUACUACUACUACUACUACUACUACUACUACUACUACCACUACCACUACUACUACCACUACCACUACUGCUCCUGCUACUGCUACUACUACCACUACUACUACCACUACUACUACCACUACUACUACCACUACUACUACU